ACCGCCUCCCCAAGUCAUCCCAGAUGACUGAGCAAACCACUCUGAUAUCACAGGUAGGGUCUGAACCCAGGGCACCAGCAGGGUCCAUGGUGCCUGGCUGGACAAUGGUGGUGCCCAGCAGGCAUGGGCUUCUAGGAGUGGGACCCCUAGCAGUCAUGAGGGAGGCUUCGACAGGGACCAAGAUGCUCUAAAUGAGAAGGUGGGGAUGAAUACCAGGAAAACUGGUGACUCCGUCUCUGCCCACAACAUGUUGAGGCUUAGAAACCAUGUUACAUACAGAUGGGGUAAGUGAGGCACAAAGAGGCCAAAUCACUUGCUCAAAGGUGUAGAGCUGUAAAGUGACAAUCCAGAUUUGAACCCAGAUCUUCUUGACUUCUGCUUGUUCUACUAGACCAUGAGCACUUUCAGGAGAAAUCAGAGAAUGUCCGAGGAAUACCAGUAAUCCAGUUGGAUGGAAAAAAAAAAAAUCAUCAGAGGAACAGCAACAAUCAAAGCUGGAAAGGGAAACCAGUUGGCCCACUAUGAGGGGGUGAGUCAGCGACAGUCAAGAGGCCAUUUUAUCAAGCUCACACUGGGAAAAUCAGGUAAAUUACUGACUGGCACAGGGGCAUGCAACCCACGAAACACUCUCCAAGAUUAACUCAUAGUUUCUGGUUUCUGUGUCAGCUUAAAAAGAAAAACAACAACACUAUAAAUCUAUAAAGGCAGAAAGUAGAUUAGUGGUUGCCUAAAAUUCUGGGCGGGGAAGGGACUUGGGGGGAAAUGGGGAGUGUCCCCUAAUAGGUACCAGAGUUUCUUUUCAGGGUGAUGAAAAUGCUCUAAAGGUAAUUGUGGUGAUGGUUGCACAACUCUGUGAAUAUAUUAAGAAGUCAUUGAGUUGUGCCCUUUAAAUAGGCCAUGUAUGUGAGUUAAAUCUCAAUACCGAUUAUUGAAACAAAUAGCCUUGGGGCGCCUGGGUGGCGCAGUCGGUUGAGCGUCCGACUUCAGCCAGGUCACGAUCUCGCGGUCCGUGAGUUGGAGCCCCGCGUCAGGCUCUGGGCUGAUGGCUCAGAGCCUGGAGCCUGUUUCCGAUUCUGUGUCUCCCUCUCUCUCUGCCCCUCCCCCGUUCAUGCUCUGUCUCUCUCUGUCCCAAAAAUAAAAAUAAAAAAAAACAAAACA
rnacentral:lncRNA from 1 species